rnacentral:rRNA from 1 species
UGGGGAAUAUUGGACAAUGGGCGAAAGCCUGAUCCAGCCAUGCCGCGUGAGUGAAGAAGGCCUUCGGGUUGUAAAGCUCUUUUAGUCGGAAAGAAAAGACCAUAAUGAACAAUUAGGAUUCAUGACGGUACCGACAGAAAAAGCACCGGCUAACUACGUGCCAGCAGCCGCGGUAAUACGUAGGGUGCGAGCGUUAAUCGGAAUUACUGGGCGUAAAGGGUGCGCAGGCGGUUUUGUAAGUCAGAUGUGAAAUCCCCGGGCUUAACCUGGGAAUUGCGUUUGAAACUGCAAGACUAGAGUGCAGCAGAGGGGAGUGGAAUUCCAUGUGUAGCAGUGAAAUGCGUAGAGAUGUGGAAGAACACCGAUGGCGAAGGCAGCUCCCUGGGUUGACACUGACGCUCAUGCACGAAAGCGUGGGGAGCAAACA